GAUGAAGAACGCAGCGAAAUGCGAUACGUAAUGUGAAUUGCAGAAUUCAGUGAAUCAUCGAAUCUUUGAACGCAUAUUGCGCUCUUUGGUAUUCCGAAGAGCAUGCUUGUUUGAGUAUCAGUAAACACCUCAAAACUUUUUUUUAUUUUUUAAAAACCAGUUUUGGACUUGAGCAAUCCCAACACCAAUCUUUUUUAGAUCGGUGGCGGGUUGCUUGAAAUGCAGGUGCAGCUGGACAUUCUCCUGAGCUAAAAGCAUAUUUAUUUAGUCCCGUCAAACGGAUUAUUACUUUUGCUGCAGCUAAUAUAAAGGGAGUUUGACCGUUUUGGCUGACUGAUGCAGGAUUUCACAAGGGUCGGCAACGAUUCUUGUAAAACUCGAUCUCAAGUCAAGUAAGACUACCCGCUGAACUUAAGCAUAUCAAUAAGCGGAGGA
rnacentral:misc_RNA from 1 species